rnacentral:piRNA from 1 species
UCAGAGCUUCAGAACCGGGGUUCCCGACAC